CCACGCGCUGCGGGGGCGCACCGGCUGCAGUUGGUCUCCGAGGCGGGAACGGUUUCUCUCGGGAGGUUCUGCCUGGUCGCGGCGCGAUGCCUCUGGAUCCUCAGGUGCCCGCGGGGAACCUUGGCAAUCACGUCGUCCCGGCCGCCUUCUACCGCCUGGGCUUUGGGAUUAGCUACCACAUAGCGGUCCUCUGGCGAACCUGGGGCGUCCUAGAGGGCGUGCGAAGAGGACAACGACGAGGAGGAGGAGGAGAAGCCGCCCACUUGGCCAACGGUCGUAUUCGCCCACGCGGGUUCUGAGUGACUUGGAGGACGGCUCGCCCACUCCCCAGAAUGCCUGGCAUAGGAUAUGACUGUAAAUAUUUAGCUCUACGAGAAGAAAUGGCAUUUACACGCAAAAGAAAGAAAUUCAUUGGUUUUAAGUAACUACAACAUAAUGCAGCCUAAAAGUACCCGGACUCUAGGUCUGCCUGAUGGAGGAUCCACUAUGACACCAUUAAUCCCCCAGGAAUUAGCGCAUGGAAUGGGGUACCAGAAAAAUGACCAGAAUUAACUCCCUUUCAAGACUCCUUCCCAGACGUCUGAUCAGGACCAAGACUGGGAUUUCUCAUCUCUGGGUCCUUAACAGUGUAACAUUCUCUCCUUCUCUUGGUUCUGCUUCUGUUGAGAGACCCUGCUUAAAUCACUUUCUUCAGCUCACUGAAAGAAAGCAGCAGGACAAAAGCACUGCUCCCACCACAAAGGAAGCUGGGCCCCACGCUUUGGAAGAAGGUUUGCACACCUCAUCUUUAAGUCUUUGCCUAAGAACGGAUGGUGUGUUUUGACUGCAGUGCCAAAACUCACAGCUGGGCAAACGUAACCUACAGGAUGUUUCUUUUCAUCAGCUGCUUGGAGUCACGUGGUAUUCACUAGAGUUUAAUCUGUACAUCAGUGACCCCAUGAAGUUGACCGUUCCUUUCGUAGCUGGGAUGACAGUGCGAACUGCUUCUGGAAGAAGGAUGAGACAGACCACUGUGGCAAAGCACAAGCUCUUCAGGCAGAUGUAAACUGCAGGACCAGGAAGCCAGAGCUACAGACUGAAGUGCCUUCUGCACCCUCCUUUCCAGCACUUACUUCACAGGCAGAGUGGCUGGCAGGUGAUGUGUGCAGUGUGCAGAAAGGCAGGGAGGGCCAGAACAUAAGUGGGCCAGACUUGUGGGUCUGCUACUAUCUGACCUACAGCCAGGCAGGGCUGGGCAGGAGCCAUCAGGAACUUUGAUGCUCUGCUCCAGCUUUCAGUAAGUGGUUUUGUAGCUAAAUCAAAGACAGACAGAAAGCUCUAUAAAAGACAGGGCCAGCCCCCAUUCCUCAAAGCCACAGCACAGCAGGCCCUGGAGCCUGCAUGAUCGUCUCUGUGGCCCUGCUCCAGUCUGUUUCCCAUAGAUGAAGAACGCCAUGUCCUGGCCAUCACAUGUACAGAUGCAGACACCAUCCUCUACCCACUAACAGGCAGGCAGGUAGCACACUGACAGUCGCCCUGCAUCAUCAGAUAACUGUGUGCUGUGUGGGUAGAGAUGUGCAGUCCCACAGAAUCAGGUCAUGGUGAAAAGAAGCCAUUAGAGCAGAGUGUCAGAGUGCCCCCUCCAUUUCUCUCAGGAGCUGCAGGUUUUCCUCCCCACAUGAAAGGCAGUGUGAUGGGAGGAGGGCAAAAGUACAAGACCCAGCCCAGCCUCCUGGGCCAAGAACUUGGGUCUUGGCUGGACCUGGUAUCUCACUUAUUAUCUCUGUAGGUGCCUUUUUGUUUUUGAGCCUCAGUUUCCUUCUCUGUUGUGUGGAUGUAAUACCUAUUCUGUUUAAGGAUGGAACUGUGUUCUCCAAAUACAACAGCUGAAGGCCCAGCCUGAGGAUGUAAGCUUUGCUAAAAACAGCCUUUUAGAGGGAACAACUUAACACAGGGUCAAUAGUGGCCCAGUGCAGCAGGGAUGCUGUCCUUACAGUGCAGGAGAAGUCUGCUCCAGAUACUCAGGGAAAGACGGCCAGGACUGGAGAGAAGUGGUCAGAUGUCCAGGAAGCUGAGGACUCUGGCAGGAAGGACCUGCCCGGAGCCUUCAGGGGGAGUAUGGCCACACCUUGGUUUAUGACUUCUGUCUUCUAGACCUGAGUGAUGAGCUUCCCUUGAUGACACCCAGAUUCUGUUACAACAGCCCUAUUGGUGACUACACACGUGUCACCCUCCCCACAGGUGGCUCAGAUCAUAGAGACAAGCUGUACUGAAUAUGGCCUUUGCCACAGGCCAAGUACAAAGGCAGUAGAAGGGGCCUCACACAGAAGAGCAGGACACAGCCCCAGCCCUGUCCUUGUCCCCCUGACAGCUGUGCAGCAGCUCAGUUUCUUCAGCAUGACAGGGACAAUGCUGUCUACUCUCCAGGCUGUCACCGAGUUGAAACAGAUGACAACAGAACACCUUGCAAUGACUUCUUUCCAUCGUUUUAAAGAGACAAGGGACAUGCCAUUUUCUACUGACAGCAAGCUUUGACCUGACAUUCAUUUCUCAAGGAUUCUCCCAGAUGGAUGUGGGAAGUGGAUUUCUCUCUGUGUCCUCCAUCACGUGGGUCCCUCGUGAGGCAAGCACACUGUAUCACAAGUCAAAUGGAAGUGUCUCACUGUUCAGUCUCCCUAAGACCUUCAGCCACCAAGAUGUCAAGGCCAAUCUGGCAGCAAGGAUGAGAAGGCCUCAUGUCUACCAAGGACUGCUCAGGGUGCAGAAGACGUGAGGCCUGGGCAGGGCUGCCUCAGCCCAGAUGGAUUUCUAGAGUGCUGGGUCUGGCUGGUCCUGCCUCUGGCACCAGAAGAGACAGUGCCAGGCCCAUUGGGAGCUGACAGUAUCAAGCCUACCAUGCUGAUGUCUUCCUUGGUUAUGUUGUCAAUGUGUUAAAAACUCAGAAAAAGCCCAGGUGCUUCUCUUCAAAAUGCUGCACUAUUUGAAUACCUGCUCCAUGCUCUGAGAUGUGUUCUUAUGAAGUGCUUCUAGGAUUUCUCAUACUUUUCCUCAUUUUAUGUUAAAAUUGUCACAUAAUAGGUUUGUUCCCAUCUUUCCUUGUUCACCACACAUGCCCUGUCAUUUUUCUUUCCUCCCCAGGUUUCAAAUGUGGGAACAAGAGUUUCAGAGCCUCCAUUCUCGAUGCUCAGGUCCAGUCCCUGUGCUGCUCCAUGGCUAGCCGUUCUCCCUGUAUCUGCUCUGCCUCUCACUGGAGCAAGGCUCAACCAGGUAGAUGUAGGUGAGAGAUAUACAUCCUAGUACACUCUGAGAUAUGUGUGUUGGAUCCCAAGCAUAUAUCUACAUUGCUAUGAGCUGAGCUACCUUCCUCAUUCAUCACAUGCCUGUGUUCAUUUUGUCAUUGGUGAGUGUGCUGUGCAGCCUUCUAGCCUAGAUCUGGCCCCAGCAGCUGCAUAUGAAGCACCUUAGAGAAAGGUCUAAAUGGGCCUACGUCUUAAUUUCCUUACAAGAAAAUGAGAAUACUUUGUCUCAUUGCGUUUUGAGCCUUAAAUUAUAGGCAUAAAGCUGCAUGAAUUAAACAUCCCUGAAGUCUGUCUACUUAGCCUCUUAUACUAGGCUGUCCAUAGGAAGGACAUUGAAAUGAAAGAUGUAAGAGCAGUCCAGUCCAGCUUAAGCAAGUCUCUGACAGGAUGUUACAUCCCUAGGAUGUGGUGAGAGUGAACACCUGACAGCUGUACUCAGAGGCCACAACCACCCAUACUUGAGUACUCUGUCCUCCUCACCAUUGCUUUCCUGCUUCCAGUUUUGUUUGGUGACAGGACUUUGUUGGGAGUAAGGUCAGCUGGCUUCUGGGAAUACCUAUUUAUUAUAGGGCUUUCCAUGUAAGCCUCUAACAGUUGAUGGCUCUUUAGGAUGCAUGUGAGGAGCAUUCCUAUGGUAGGUACUAUGCUAAUGUUCAGCAUAUUACAUCAGUCUGUGAUUAGCCUUCAGAGUGUCUACUAGCAUGUGGCCACUUCAGUGUUCAAUCUGCAACCUCUCGGGUGGAGGUACAGUAGACCUACUCUUCCUUGGCUUCUCAGGUCUUGGCCAGCUUUCCCUGUUUGUACACUGUACAGAGUGCUCUUCUACUUCUGACAAAUAGAGUGAGUAUGAAUGGCCACGCUGCUGAAAGUGGCCCAUCCCAUUUUCAGAUUCUUCUUCUGAGGAUUCUGGGCUUUCUGAAAGCUCUGAGCCAUUUUAUUUCCUCAAAACCUCCCAUAGCUGCGUUAAAUGCUUUCAUUGCUGCCUCCUGUUUUGAAUGUGUGUACUGUCAAGAUUUGGAAGCAGGUAUAAAAUGUGAGUACACUACCACUACAAGUAGUCAUCAGAAAAGAACCUUAUUUGGUCAUUCUUCACAGCUCAUUUCUUCCUAGUUUAUACUAUAAUGUUGCUUUUGAAUAGUUUCCUUGCUACUUAGCAAAAAGCGAAGGACCUCACUCCACAGGUACUUGCCAAAUAUAACUGUCCACCUGCCAGACAUUCCUGGCCUCCCAUGCUCACCCUGUGUUGUCAGACAAGCUUCCCUGCUUUUGUUACCAACAGGGACAAGUCAACAGACUGGAGAUUCUCUGUACAACUCCAGGCCAAGUACUGACAGAGACUCCAUGCUAGGUUAGAGGGGGAUGCAGACCAACAAAAAGCAGCUCUGAGGGUACUUGAUGCUUCAUGUUGACUUAGGGGACAGGGACAGCUUCCCAUAGUUGGUGUCAUUGAACUAAAGCCUUCUGCUUGCAUAUCAUCACAUACAAGAAUAUCACUACUUUCCAGUUAGCCCACUUGCUGCAUGCUGGUCUUUUGCUAGGCAGCAUGCUUGUGUCUCAACCUCUGGAGUAUUGCCUGUUCUCUAGCAAGUAGGAAUAACUGUCCCCAUUUCACAGAUGAGGAAACUGAAGCUUAGGGUAGUCACAGCAUCUGCAGAAGUCCUACAGCUCAGUAGCUGGGCUGAGCUUUUGGUAUAAUCCCUGGUAGGGACAGUCUGGAUAUCAAAAGAUGAUUCUUAACCUGUUUUGUCAAGAGUAUGUUGAGUAUUGACUGCCUUUCUCUCCCCCCCCCCCCCAUUUAGGAUGCAAAUCAAAAUACUCAGUGUCUUAUCCUUUGAGCUGUGGAGUUUAUAGGGCACAGGCAUUAACACUGAAGGUCCCCAGGGAAGGAUAAAAAACUCUGUUUUCAUCUUUUUUUCUCUCAUGGUCUUUACCAGUUAGCUAACUUUUUGUUUUGCUUUUUUUUUUUUUUUUAAAUUCCUUUAACUGUUUGCUUGGCUAGCCAUCCAGGACUUCUCUCUGCUUGUUCUUAAUCUGAAAUAGCAGUUCAGAGCGGCUAAGAAGAAGGAAGUUACAUGCUGCUAUUUGUGAUGUUUAUUUGCAUUGAGCAAAAGACCCCCUCAACCAAUUGCUGACAUCUUUGAUGACUACCAAGGGAUCUUAGAGGGCCUAAAGUAGAGGACAAGUCCUGGUGAUAGUUCAUGCAAAUCUGCUUUUGUGGUUGCCUGAAUCUUAGCUUCUUUGUCAGCUAUAUCCAGUAGACUCGGUCUUGAUGGUUUGUAAUAUGCACCCCUGCCCACCAUAAUGCAAUCAAUCUUCUCUGCAUGUCUGCCUUGGGGACAGUUGGUGCAAAUCUGCCUUUGUGGCUCAACCUUAGCUUCCAUCUUACUCAUAUCCAGUAAGUUCUCUUUUGACAAUUUGCAAUGUGCACUCCUGCCCACCAUAAUGCAACCCUCUCUGCUUGUCUGCCCUGUAUUCUGGUCUGGUCACUGACUGUCAUGAGAUACGAUGGCCUGGCUUGAUCUCCUCUUUGGACUGCAGGCUGUCUGCAGCACUGUCACAGGCUUUAGGCUUGUCUUAAUGAUUCGGAAAUGCGUUUGAGACUGCUGACUGGUUACUAAAUUCCAGUAGACUCUGGCUUCACAAACUUUGAUUUAAGCUGGUCUGGGGGCUGAUCCUAGUACUCAGGAGGCUGAAGUAUUAGCAUUGUCAGGUUGCAGUCAACCUAAACUGCAUAGUGAGUUCCAGACCAGCUUGGGCUACAAAGCGACAUCCUGUCUCCAAAAAUAUAAUGAAAAGUGGGGUGGGAGUGUGUGGAGGAGGAAGAGACCUUGGAAAGGGCAGCUACUCACACCUGUAUUGUGCCUUGUCCAUUUCUGAAAUCCUCUGGGCUCUAUGUUGAUUCCUGAUACUCUGAAUUUGGCACAGCUCUGCUUUGUGAGCAUUAUAAUUCUAGUUCUCACACCCAUGGCCCCCAUGCCUGCUACCAUUAGCACUCCAGAGAUGUCAUAAAGAGCGCUCAGAGAGCCCUGUAGUUUCAGUUUCCUCUCAGGUUAACACAUUACAUCUUUUUCAGACUCCUAGUUAAAGAGUAGGCCUGAAAGUCAUUGCCUCAUGGGCAUCUGAGUGUUAGUUGAGGUUCAUUCAAAUCAAGAGGUUCAGGAAAAUGAUUUGCUGCAAUGCAUAAAUAUGAAGUAGUUUAGAAGACCAGUUGGUUCAACACUGGGAUUUGACUUAAUAGUUAAAACUAUGUGUUAAAGGAAAAAGACUCUUUUUAUCUAAUCUUUUGUGAAAUUAUUCCAGACCCUCAUCUGAGACUCCUAACUAAGCCCCUAGGCCUAUAGACCCUUUGAUCCAGACAACUGAGGAAAGACAUAAAAGGUUGAGGUAGGAUUAGACCCUGGGCAGAAGAGAGAAAGGAUAGAUAAAAGCCAGUACCUUGUGGCAACCACCUCAGGGUAAUUCAAAAUGCCCCCAAAAUUGAUCUAACAAGAACCAGGGCACGUGACUCAGAACUAAAGUAUAUUUGGCCAAAAGGAAAGGCACUUAGAAAAUGACUGCUUUGUAAAGGGCUGGCCAGACAGCAGCCUCAGCCCCAGUGUAACCAGGGUCUCCACAUAAGUAGUGUUAGCCCCUGGAUCAAAGAAGCCCAUGGACUUGAAUGUCAUCAGUGGAACUUUGUGUGACCUUUACAACAGGUUGUUAAGCUUAUCACAUUUGGGUAUGAAAUGUCACCCCAAAGUACUGAUUCCUCAGUUGAAGACUCCUCAGCAAGUGGUACUGUUGAAGAAAGAUUGGAUCAUAAGGGUGAUGACAUCAGAGGUUUAAUCCAUUGAUUAUUUCAUAGUUGGACAGUUAGCCCAUCAGGCCUAAUUGUAGGAAGUGGGACACUGAAAGGCUGUAUCUUGCCCUCAACCCAGUCUCCAUUUUGUCAUGAGGGAAACACUCUUUGUCAAGUGUUUCUAUGAUGUUCGGUUUUGCCUCAGGCCUACAGCAAUAAGGCCAAAGAACCAAGGACCAAAGCCAUGAGCCAAAUAAAUCUUCACUCAUUUCAGUUGUAUCAAGUGUUUUGUCACAACAGUGGAUACUAACACACAUGGGUAAUGUUUGUCUAAGUAAAGGUGCGUACUGUUUGCUCACAAUAUUGUAUAUGUUGUACUACCUUGAGUUAGGAAAUAAACACUUGUUUAUCAAACUUG